rnacentral:tRNA from 1 species
GCCCCGGUGGUGAAAUUGGUAGACACAAGGGACUUAAAAUCCCUCGGAGUAAAAUCCGUGCCGGUUCGACCCCGGCCCGGGGCACCA